GAAAAGGUCCCAAUAAAAUCAAAGCAAAACCCAAGUCCAAAGAACCAGAGAAUGUGCAGGCACGGAAAAUCAGAUUUUCAGGAUGACACCAUAAUUGCUCUGACCAAUAGAAUGUGAUAGAAGACUUUCUGGGCCUUAUUACCUCAAAAC